rnacentral:rRNA from 1 species
UACGAGCGGCCCAAACGUUGUUCGGAAUCACUGGGCCUAAAGGGCGCGUAGGCGGCUUGUCAAGUCAGGGGUGAAAUCCGGCAGCUUAACUGUCGAAGUGCCUUUGAUACUGAUGAGCUCGAGGGAGGUAGGGGUAUGUGGAACUUCCGGUGGAGCGGUGAAAUGCGUUGAUAUCGGAAGGAACGCCGGUGGCGAAAGCGACGUACUGGACCUCUUCUGACGCUGAGGCGCGAAAGCCAGGGGAGCAAACGGG